GACAAACGCUGGCGGCGUGCAUAAAACAUGCAAGUCGGACGAGCCAAUCCCCGCAAGGGGAAAGGCUAGUGGCGAACGGCUGAGUAACACGUAGGUGAUCUGCCCUGAAGUGGGGGAUAACGACUCGAAAGAGUCGCUAAUACCGCAUGUGACCAUCGAUUCGUUUUCGAUGCUCAAAGUCGUAAGACGCUUUAGGAGGAGCCUGCGGCGGAUUAACUAGUUGGUGAGGUAAUGGCCCACCAAGGCUUCGAUCCGUAGCUGGUCUGAGAGGAUGGCCAGCCAGACUGGGACUGAGACACGGCCCAGACUCCUACGGGAGGCAGCAGUUAGGAAUUUUGCGCAAUGGGGGAAACCCUGACGCAGCCACGCCGCGUGCGGGAUGAAGGCCUCGGUCGUAACCGACC
rnacentral:rRNA from 1 species